AAAGAAGCUAUAGGAACUAAGAAAUUGAAUAACAGAUAUUGUGGAUAAUUGAGAAAUUUUCAUUUAACCCAAGUAGAUAGAUGACUUCCUACGUUAUAUGUAACAGCACUUGGAAGAUGAUAAAAAAGUGAUAGAAACUAAGAGGUCUUUCCUGUUUUUAGCUUGUCUAGUUUUUUUGUUUUUGUAGUAUAAAUGAUUGUACUUUCUUUUUAGUUCUUCGUUGAUCUUCUUUAAGCAAUCAGG
rnacentral:lncRNA from 1 species